rnacentral:rRNA from 1 species
CCAGGCCAGCAUCAGUUCGGGUGGUUAGUUAAAGGUCCUGGGAAUGUAUCUACCUUCGGGUCGACUUAUAGCCCAGGUCGUAAUGUAGCCUACCUGGACCGAGGAACGCGCUUCGGCUCGGAUGCUGGCGUAAUGGUUGUAAGCGG